UGAAGGUCUUCGGAUUGUAAACCUCUGUCACUGGGGAGAAAACGCUUUGAGUUAACAGUUCAAAGCCUGAUUUAACCCGGAGAGGAAGCAGUGGCUAACUCUGUGCCAGCAGCCGCGGUAAUACAGAGACUGCAAGCGUUAUUCGGAUUCACUGGGCGUAAAGGGUGCGCAGGCGGCCGUGUGUGUCAGGUGUGAAAUCCCGGGGCUCAACCCCGGAACUGCGCCUGAAACUACAUGGCUAGAGUAUUGGAGAGGGUAGCGGAAUUCACGGUGUAGCAGUGAAAUGCGUAGAUAUCGUGAGGAACACCAGAGGCGAAGGCGGCUACCUGGACAAUUACUGACGCUCAGGCACGAAAGCGUGGGGAGCAAAAGGGAUUAGAUACCCCUGUAGUCCACGCCCUAAACGGUGCACACUAGGUCUUGGCGGAUUCGACCCCUCCAGGGCCCAAGCUAACGCGUUAAGUGUGCCGCCUGAGGAGUACGGCCGCAAGGCUA
rnacentral:rRNA from 1 species